UUUUUUUUUUUUUUUUAAGAUUUUAUCUUUAAGUAAUCUGCACAUCCAAUGCAGGGCUUAAACCCACAACCCAAGAUUAAGAGUCACAUGCUCCACUGACUGAGCUAGCCAGCCGCCCUAAGUCACUAAUUCUUUUAACUAAAAAAGUAUACAUGACCCAAUGGUUCAAAAAAACCAAACAACAUAAUGAAUAUAGUAAACAGUACAGUGAAAAGUAAGUCUUCUGAUAUCAGAUCCUGAUUCCCUUUUCCUGUUACUUUUUUUUUCUGUGUCCUUGUGGCAGAGACAAUGUUACAUGAAAUGGGGUUUCGUGGGUGGGUUUCAUGAUGGGUUACAUGAAACCCAUUUCAUUUUCUUCUUUCUGGGUAUGCAAGAUGGCAACAUUUCCCACCCUGCCUUCCAGUGAGGCUGUGCCCAGGAGGCCAGUUCUGGCUCAAGGGCUAUGCACAGAAGUGUGUGCACUUCUGGGCCAGAACAUUUAGUUCCAGUGUAUGAUUCCCCAGCUCUCCCUUCCCUUGCUGCAGCAAUUGUGGAAGCCACCACACCCAACACCACAGGAUUUACUGUGGACGAUUAUAGAAAACCAGUUUUUCACUCUCAGUUCGCCACCUACCUCCAGCCUAUAAAAGAUGUUGGAGAGGUUGAAAGAGAUAGAAGAUUUAAGGUUUUUAGAGAAAGUUAUUGGUGUCCUGAGUCACUGCCACACCCCUAACCUCAUCGUAAGGAGUACGUGCCCAUCAUCUCACACUGAUGGAAAGAGUUUUACUGGGAUCACAGAGAAGUGCAGAAUAUGUGUCCCUUCCAAUGUGAGAGGCACAGUGGCCGGUGUCUGAGUUACGUCUGGAAUAUGUAAAGGGUGAAGGGCUGGCUCAGGCCUCCCAUGGGGUAGAAACGAGGCUAUGGUUUUGGGAAGAGCAUGUUUUGUCUACUCUAGAUAUGUUACAUACAUGAAGGGCCUGGAGAAGCACUGUCUCGGAUCCUGUUCAAGAACACUGCCAGAAGUGACUGGUUUCAGUGGGAGGAGGGUGGAAGUGCAUCCCCAGAUGCCCAGAGUCUUGAGCAAGAAUUAUAAACAAACAACUUUAAGAGCAAUGCAUUCAUCCACAUGAAAGAGGCCACAAAGAUGUGAUCCCAUCGAUGGAAUGAGGGAGCUUUAUAGAACUAAGGAAUCCAGUCCCUUCCCUAAAGAGUAGCCUUAAAUCUCUGCAAACCCCGGGAAAUGCAGAUGCCACUCACAACAGCACUAGUGAGGGACAAACUUGACUCUGUCUGGCCUAUUAAUUCUUCCAUAUGCUCCAACUUCAACAGGCCUUACGGUUGUGCAAGCCACUGAAAAGUAUGCAUGGCUGUAGGUGCGCACAGUGGCUGCAAUCUCGCCUGCUUUCUACGCUCCAAACCAUAUGUCUUGGCAGCCGGUUGCGUCUUCUCAGAGGAAGAAUUGCCUUUUUCCACUUCACACAGAGAGAAGUGCAAUUCUCUCCCCACAGGGUGGCAUCCAUCCACGAGGGGAACCUCUUUCCGAUCUAUGCCGAGGCAGCACAUCAGAGACUAGCAGCCACCCAGCAUGGAGGGCUCAGAGGCAAUAGCUAGCAAGACGACGAAAGGAAUGGAAGUAUCGAAUGAGGAAGGAGAGAAACUGCUCACACAGUCCUUUUCCGUGGGAGGCGACCCACCUCACAGAUGCCCAAGCUGGGAGGGAGGGAGAAGCCUGAGUUUUAAAUCAAUUAUAGAGUGAUGACUAUUACAGGGGGCUGGGCAUUUUUGUUGCUUAACUGAUGCUGUUUGGGAGACUAGCGUGACAGGAGGAUUUAUGACACAUCAGGGUGAUCAGUAAAGUCAAGGGACCUGACCAAGAUUUCAUCUAAGAGGGCAAGAGACUAGAGCCCCAGAGAAUAAAUUAAAGGGCCAGUGGAAGAGUUGUACCCUGUAGUGGAGACCUCUAGCUCCCUACUAAUUAUGCACAUUCCCUUCUUCAGGCACAAAGCGAGGCAAUGCUUCCCAGUGUCCCUCACAAUUAGAUAGAAUCUUUUUAAAAAAGAUUUAUAUAUUUAUUUAUUUGAGAGAGAGAGAGAGGAGAGGGAGAGGGAGAAGCAGACUCUCCAAUGAGCAGAGAGCCAACGUGGGGCUCGAUCCCAGGACCUUGAGAUCAUGACCUGAGCCAAAGGCAGACGCAAAACCUACCGAGCCAUCCAGGUGCCCCAGCAAUUAGAUAGAAUCUUUAGACUCAGUUCUCUCCAAUAGAAUGUGAGACAAGUUACGGUUGGUUAAUCUGAUGUGUGCCACUUCCAGAACUAGCCUAGUAGCAACCACUAUCUCCCCUCCCCCCACCCCCUUCCCAUGACAUUCUUUGCUUUCCUCUUCUGCUAACUGGAUACAGAUGGUGACCAGGACACAAAGGAUGAUAGGCAGAAGGAACCUGGGUCCAGAUAAAAUAGGCACUAAUUACAAAAGGAAAGAGAGUAACUUUAGAGUGGAGAGGACAGACGACUACCUCAACCAAGUGAUCAAAGUUAACAUCACCAUACCAUAUGCCUCCUGAUAUCAUGCGCUGAAAAUAAACGACACCACUUCUGCAGUGUUCCUGCCAGAAAUGCAUAUCCUCAAAUCUAAUCAGGCAAACUCAAAAUAAUGGGCCUGUACUCUUCAAAAAUGUCAAAGCCUGGGGUCCUGGGCAGCUUAGUUGGUUGAGCGACCCGACUUUCGAUUUCAGCUCAGGUCAUGAUCUCAGGGUCAUGAGAUCAAGCCCCCCAUCAGGCUCCACGCUCACAGUAGAGUCUGCUUGGGAUUCCGUCUCCCUCUGCCCCUCCCCACACACAGGCAUGUGCGCAUGUGCACAGGCAACCUCUCUCAAAUAAAUAGAUAAUUUUUUAAGUCAAAGUCAUAAAAGAAAGACUGUAGAUUAAUUAAAGGAAAAUAAACAGGCUGGACUUUUUUUUUUUUUAAUUAAGUAGGCUCCAUGCACAUUGUAUAUGAGAACUCUUUGUACCAAUUUUGCAACUUUUCUCUAAAUCUGAAACUAUUACCAAAUAACUUUUUAAUUAUAUAAACUUGACACCCCGAGUGGAAAAUUAUGGCCCAUAGGACAGAGAACAAAUGCAUGGAAGGAAGGACAUGUGGGUGAGUGGAUCUUGGGUAGAGGCUUUGCACUUAUCCAGUCAUCAGCUUGUUCAAAGGUUCUUGCAUUCAGUGGCAACUUCUAAGGAUCAUCUGCUUUCUGGAAGCUCUCGUGGAAUCUCAAUUUCAAAUUUCCAGGAAGUGCAAUUUUCCAGUAUUUUUUGAUGUAUAACAGAUUAUGUCAUCUUAGCUGAAUAACAUGAAUCCAAAGACCAAUCCUUUGGAGUUUGACUGCUAUAAGGUCCUUUUCAAGCAAGGUUUAAGUUCUCGGAUAUUUCCAAAAUACCCAGUCACCUGGUCUGUGGGCAUUUAGAAGCUGGUUAGGUGGCUGGCAAGGAAAUAUGACCUAUUCUGAUUAGACUGAGUAGAUUAGGUUAAUCGUUUGCAACAUACAGCCAGCUCUGCCUAUAAGCGGUUAGAAUUCAGUGUAGGUGGAGAGAUUCCCAGUCAUAUGGACCUGUCUGCCAGUGACAAAGGGAGACAACUGGAGUUCCUGAGUGGGAAGAACACGAGUCUUAAGAAUCAAGGACAUUAAGGCUGUGGGAACACAAGUGGUGUCCACUAAUUUACCUAAUUAGAGUAUCAAUAUUUCUUUUGUUCUCUCCACUUUUCUAGGUGACUGGGAGUGAACAGGGCAGUGAGACUUCUACACAAGAGGCAAUACUUUCCAUAGCUCAAGAAUAAUUGCCCCAGUAAAAUAUACUCCUUUAUCUUUAGAUGUGAAGUCAGAAUAUCCUACGGAGGGAAUGCAAAGUCCAAUAGUUUCUUAGCCACGGUGAGUGGUAUGGCUUUUUGACAGGGUGAUAGAUGCUUCGACUCAUCCAGAAAAGAAACACACUAUUGCCAUAAACACUCAUAACUCAUAUAGGAAGGUAAUUGUGUGAGGUCUCUUUGGAUAUAUUCCAAGGGUGUCUUAGGACAUUAUUCCAAUAUGUGUCCUGCUUUUUUAAGGUUUCCUGGAUUACCUUGUUCACAGGUGAGUCAUGCAUUGACCACGUCUUCUUCUGUCUCAGAAAAGUUUCCCCAUCAGUGUUUAAUAUCAUGGCCAAUUUGUUCAUUGAACGUUUUCUGGUCUUCCUGGAUCUUGCAACCAAUCUUCUGCAUAUAUGAUGUCAUUCUUGAACCUCUCCAUAGGCUCUUCAUUCUGUUUUUAAGUCUCACGCUCUACCGACUGAGCUAGCCGGGUGCCCUUCGUUCUGUUUUUAAAAGAAAUCCCCAUGUUUAAAGACUUCAGAGAGAGCAGCCUAUUAGCAUAAUGAUCUGCAAAGUAUUUCAUCUAAUUUUUUUUUAAUGUGGGCAAUGACAGUAAUUUCCAAGACAUCAAGGAACUUACUUAUUUGGUGUCCAUUUUCAAUAGGGACACUUGAGGAGGUAAAAAGAAAAAAACCUCUUUCUUUCCAUGUCAUUCUGAAUGACAUGAGUCAUUCAGACUCUGACAUUGUCAGAGUGCGUUGGUAGCUCCUUGGUGCGUCUAACAAGACACGGUAAAUGGUAAGCUCAGGCAAGAACAUCCUGGUUUGCAAGCAGACAGAAAAAAGGAAUCAAGGGAACCCAGAACUGGGGCCUUGUACCCUGACAGCAAAAAAAAGACUGAAAAGGUUUUGAGAAAAAAGAUCCACUAAGAUAUUUCAGU
rnacentral:lncRNA from 1 species